CUUGGGAAAGGAUCUGACACCUAAGUUCCUCAGCAGCUAGAUAGAAGGAGGGGGCCACCUGAAGGCUGACUGCUGAUUUCUUGAAACAAUUUCAGACUUUUUGGCAGGUUCAUUUAACUUGCAUCUAAGAGGUUAAAAGAGCUGGCUGAGGAGCCCACAGGACUAUUAUGUUGAUUUUCAAUAUGUCUUGGAGCACUGAGGAAGUUCCACAAGACUGGAAGAAAGAAAGAUGUAAACCCUGCAAGACUCUGGAAUAGUACAGGCAACAUCACAGAGAGCCUGGGAAUUCAUUUGAGGAUGGAAUUGUUCUGAAAUUCCACAAAAUAUAGCAGCAAUACCAACAAUGGAAAGAUAGCACUGACUAAGAGAAGCAAGUAACAUACACCACCCAUCUGAAGUUUUGUUUUAUUUUGCAUUUCUACA